GAUGAAGAACGCAGCGAAAUGCGAUAAGUAAUGUGAAUUGCAGAAUUCAGUGAAUCAUCGAAUCUUUGAACGCACAUUGCGCCCUCUGGUAUUCCGGGGGGCAUGCCUGUUCGAGCGUCAUUAUAACCACUCAAACUCUCGCUUGGUAUUGGGGUUCGCGGUUUCGCGGCCCCUAAAAUCAGUGGCGGUGCCUGUCGGCUCUACGCGUAGUAAUACUUCUCGCGAUUGAGUUCGAUAGGUCUACUUGCCAGUAACCCCCAAUUUUUACAGGUUGACCUCGGAUCAGGUAGGGAUACCCGCUGAACUUAAGCAUAUCAAUAAGCGGAGGA
rnacentral:misc_RNA from 1 species